ensembl:lncRNA
AUAAAAAUAUCAAAAUAUCAGGCAUUCUUUUUUUUUUUUUUUUGGCUGGCAAGUUAAAAUAUACAAAAUGGAGGUAGUUUUAGAAAAUAAGGCAUUAUCCUUAGCUAAUUUUUAAGCAUCCUUGGAGGUCUUUGAGUAGCACCCUUGACGGUAAUAUGGCUGUAGAUGCACAAUGAGUUAUAUAAAGCAGAGAACAUUUAGGUCACUGUGAUGAUGUGGGCUGCAAGAUCCCAGUGAUGACGGUGGUAACACAGAGAAGACAGAUGUGAGAGAAAUGAUAUUUCAUAUUGACAUGACUUGACAAUCCUUAAUUGGAUGUAAGAGACAGAGGAGAGAAAAGAGGUUUUUUUAAUUUUUAUUUAUUUAUUUACUUUUUUCUGGUGCAUCCCAUCAUUUGUUUAAGAAGUAAGUAUUUACCACCUAUUAUGUCCCAGGCACUAGGACAUAGUGCUGGUCCUAUUGCUAAAUUUUCUAAACCUUCCAUUGACUCAGCUGGAGCUACCAUCAUGUGCCAUUGUCAAUUUUCCCACUGCUUUAAUUGCCUCCAGAAUCAAAAUUAAAUGGUUACUCCUUUUCUAUCAUCUGCAAUUCUCCUUUCAGUGUUCCUCACUGGGAGAAGCCAACAAAUACUCAGAUGGUCUUGGGGGUCUGGCACGUACUUUUCAGGACUUCAACUCUGGUGGUACAAAAACACAUAGGAAGGAGAAUGUAAAACUUAAGCCAAUGAGAACUACCGGACAAAAAGGUCAUUGUGUGAAAUGAUGAAAUGCAUCUUCAUAAGAAAGCGCAAGAACUUGAAUUUGAGAAGAAAAAUAUAAAAGGAAAAAUAUUCUAGAAUCAGAUAUGAAAAUCACCGUGUCAGAUUAUGAAGCUGGAAUUUAUUCUUUGAAAAAUAGAAGAAAACAAGAUAAAACUAUGAAGAACGCAUUGCUGCUGCUUUAACAAUACUCAGAGAUGUUAUCACCAAAAGCCAUCAGUAACUGCCACAUGAGGCAGUCCCUACAAGGAGAGCAUUGCCUUCUGGUGUAUUGUGACAAGCUCAUCUGCAUGCAUGCACGAGUUCAUAUAGGACUGACAUUUUUGAAAGAACACCACAGCUUGAGAAAUAGAAAGAAGCUUUAGAUCAUCCAAUCCAGGUGAUUUUCACACAAAGUUUGACUGUAAAACUUUUUAGUGAAGAUGCUUUUCUACUCAGUAUACAUUUACUGAGCACAUACACAUAUGUAAAUACAGAUAUGAAUAAAAUACAGUGCUUAUCUUAGAAAUGAUUCUGUUUAAUAAAGGCAUCUUUCUCUCACUCUGUCAAACAGACAUGUAUGUGCACACACACACACAUGCAUGCACAUGCACCCCACAAUGCUCCUUGAAUUUAUAAAUAAAAGGGAGCUAUAGAAUGGGCAGAGGGGUGAGGGUUGGGGAGAUUGAGAAAAGCGUUGCAGGGGAACUGUGAGAAGGAAAGGUUUUCUAGUAACACAUAUUACUUGACCUGGUAUUGGAGGCAUGAAAAAAUAUUUCAAAGGCCGAAAUUUAAAAAGAAGUUAUUCCAGGCAUGAGAGUGGUAUGAACAAAGGCAGAAGCCUGAUAACAUAAAAAAUUAGAGAAAAUAAAUAUAGGCCACAAUUUACAGACUUAAAGGUCUACUUUAAGGACAGCGUGGGUCCAUUCUGACAGGAUAUUGAUAGUUAAAGAUGGGCUUUGGGGAGAUUGUUCUGGUAACAGGGCCCUUUGCUGGGUAAAGACAGAAUUAGAAGAGGAAAUGACAUUUGUAAUGGGAGCAUCACCCAAUUUUCUCUCUACACAACCCUGUAGUCACUCCUGGGGUGACUUUACAGAAACCAGAGGGUUCCACAGACAGGAUUUAAAAGUUCUUUUUCUUUUUUUUUGAGUCCAUCUCUCACAUUUCACAACUGAAGGAACCAUGGCUUGGAGUUCAUGAAUAACUUGAGCAAGAUCAUACAACAAUCUAUUCUUGAGAUUUUGCUUCAUAGCACUCAACUAUGGAUCGGUAGCUAUAAACUGCUUCAAGGCAUUUUCUCCUGAUUACUUCAUACCAUAGUGAUUUGCUUUUCCUGGAUAUAGUCUCAGUUUUUCUUGUAAUUACCAGUUCCUUAAGAAAAACAGAGUUCAUUAGAUUUCAUGGACAUUAGCAGACCAGCAGGUGUCUAUUACAAUGUCUAUGUAUUCUUGAUCACUAUUAUAAUUAUUGCCAUUGUUAUUAUCAUUUGAAGUGCCCAAAAUUGUGUGUUUUCAGAGUCAUGAAGUGUCUUGACAUUUAAUUUUUAAGAAUUUCAUUUAAGAGCCAAAAGUUGCAAUUGCAUAGUCUAGGAGACAUUUAGAUGUUAACAACUCCUUUUAGAAUGAAACACAUGGUAAUAACCUAUUUAUAUUGAAGAUAAAUG